CGGGAUGUAGCUCGGCAGGUAGAGCGUCUGGUUGAAAGCCAGGGCGUCGCAGGUUCCAUGCCUGCCGCCCGGCCA
rnacentral:tRNA from 1 species